UGGUUAGUCCGCAACGAGCGCAACCCUUAUCCCUAGUUGCCAUCAGGUAAAGCUGGGAACGUCUGGGGAGACGUGCCGGUGAUAAACCGGAGGAAGGCGGGGAUGACGUCAAGUCCUCAUGGCCCUUACAUCCCGGGCUACACACGUGCUACAAUGGCAGGUACAGAGGGCUGCGAAGCCGCGAGGUGGAGCGAAUCCCAGAAAACCUGUCUCAGUCCGGAUUGAAGUCUGCAACUCGACUUCAUGAAGGCGGAAUCGCUAGUAACCGCGAAUCAGCAGGUCGCGGUGAAUACGUUCCCGGGCCUU
rnacentral:rRNA from 1 species